rnacentral:rRNA from 1 species
GACGAACGCUGGCGGCGUGCUUAACACAUGCAAGUCGAGCGGAAAGGCCCUGCUUGCAGGUUACUCGAGUGGCGAACGGGUGAGUAACACGUGGGUGAUUGGCCCUGCACUUCGGAUUAAGCCUGGGAAACUGCGUUUAUUACCCGUUAGUCCCCAUGUUGAGUGUGAUGGUUGUUAGGACUUUUCGCUGUCGGAUGAGCUCGCGGCGUAUCAGCUUGUUGGUGGGGUAAUGGCCUACCAAGGCGGCGACCGGUAGCUGGACUGAGAGGGUGGUCGGCCACACAGGGGCCGAGGGGAGGCCGAGAUUGCGAAGAGUGGAAGAAGGGGGGAAGAUUGAACAAUGCGCGCCAGGCUGAUGAAGCGAGGCCGCGUGGGGGAUAACGGCCUUCGGGUGGUAAACUGGUUGCGAGAGGGAAGAAGCUUGUUGUGACGGUACCAAGAGAAGAAGCACCGGCUAACUACGUG